GUGCUCCCUUUGGCAGCACAUAGACUAAAACUGGAACAAUACAGAGAGGAUUAGCAUGGCUCCUGUGUAAGAAAAAAAGGGUGGUCCACGGAGGGAGAGAAGACUGGA